rnacentral:lncRNA from 1 species
UCUGGGGGCUCUGUUUAACUAGCUCUCUUCUUCCUGUUGUAUUCUCUCUUGCAGCUCAGAAGGCCUCCUCUGUCUGUUACCUCUGUAACGGAUCAUUUACUGUGGUCACGAGGUGAAAUGGCUGACCCCCCCCAUCUGGAAAAUGCUUGUUGUGUGUUGAGAACCAGAAGGUCUACGCUGUGUGUGACUCAGAGAUCAUCAAGCCAGCCUUUGAGGGCCAAGGCAGCUCCAUGCCUGUCAUCGAAGCCAAUUGCACUGGCAUUGUUUCAACUGAUCAGACGGGUGAGUUCCAUUCAAUAUUCAAACUGUAUUUCAAACAAAACA